CAUCACCUUCCACCACAGCUCCUCCAGCGUGGUACCGUGCCAGGAACAGGGUGCUGGUCUCCACUGGUAGCAUGGCAUUGAUGCAGUCCCGAUCUUCGCAGCCUGCUGCCUUUGGAGGGAGGGAGAUGUGCAGGGAGUGAGGUCCACUGCAGGAGGGCCCUGCAUGCUCUUACACAGAGCUUUCAGCUGGGAGCCAGCAGCUUAUCGAUGCCUAUGUCCAGAGCCUUCUACAAAUGAGAUGAGACAUUUUAUUUGUACGUGAAACCUAGAUUUAAAGCUAUGCAAAUAAUUGAGAAGACACCGAGUACCUCCUCGCUGGUGCGGAAAGACAACUGCAGGCUGUUUCAGUUAGCCUGCCUGCCAGCCUAGCAGGGCGCAGGCAGCAGCCGUUCCCCAAGCCUGGCCUUGCAGGUUUCACACCUCUGCUCCCUGCAAAGCUGGAAGUCAGGAGGGCGAUUUCAGCAAGAGAGGGGUGUCCCGUGAAGCCCCUCCUCGCAGCCAGGCCAGAGCAGGUGGGGUACCACCCGCAGUCGCUGACACGCGACACGGGGCACUGUUGAGAUCCACACCCAGUGGGGAAGCAGUCCACGAAGCAAACGCUGCUUCACCCAAGUGCAACUAAAAACAAUUAAACACGGAAUAAUUUAAAAAACCUUUUUAUUUAGACAAACACAAGAAGAGCUAGAUAGGAUUUAUGAGCUAAGUUUUUUGGUUGGAGAGCCAAUGUGUACUUUAAAGCAUCGUAAGAGACCGAGAGGAUACAGUCUUGAACAGCAUGUUGUAAUCAUUUGUAAAACUGCAUGAGACAGAUUUUUUUAAACCAAUUACUUCCCGUCCGUUCAGGGACGGAUAAGCCCCCAGCUAAAAUUCCUUUUCAUCCCGGUGCUUGUAACGAUGAAGAUGAAAUGUGAUUUUCCUUUCUAACAAGUGCUCCAAAAAGCAAAAAAGAAAAAGCAUGUGUUUCUCUGUUAUGGAAAAUAGGUCUCAGCAUGCUGGAAAUUCUGCGUUUUACUUAUUUUCUACCACAAAUGCCCCAUUUUUAAAGAAAUGAAUAAUGUAAUCAUUUUCUCCGAUUUAUGUUUUCUUUUCUGCCUCAUUCGGCACUAAUGCCGCGUUAUUACAAGAACAACUGUUCCCUGCAAAAAGAAUGAUCUUUAGACAUCUCGUCCAAAACCUUUGAAGUCACUGGGAAUGAACUGAAAAGAAACGUGACAGAGGCCGUGUACACGACCAGCAAUCGAAGACUUUCCCACUGACCGGGCAGAUUUUCUACUCGUCACCUGAUGACACAGCGCUGCAGUUUCCUACACCUUCUCAGACAAAAAGAAAAACUCUCUUCCGGGUAGGGUACCAAGUACAUGGCUUGCUGUUUUCAGGUCAGAAGUCAGGAACGAUAAUAAAACGUGGGUCAAAGAGGGCACAACCGAGUCCCGGGAGCAAAUUCAGGGCCUGGGGACGUCUUCGCUGGCGAGCGUCCCUGGGAUUUGAAACGGCCACGCGCACCACCAUCAUCAUCAGGGUAACGGCAGUAGUAACGAGCGCCACGAGCGCCACAGCUCCCGCGCUCUCGAGGUUUGAGACGUGUGCUGGCAAGCCAAACGGCAACGAGGAGUGUUUUAUAAACGAACUUGGAGAAGAAUGUGGAGGGAAUUAGUGUCAGGCAUGUGUCAAGAGGGUUACUUUUCCCAUCUCCAACGCCUAUAAUUACAUCUCAAACGUGCUAAUAAAAUCCAGUGGCGACA